rnacentral:rRNA from 1 species
GACGAACGCUGGCGGCGUGCUUAACACAUGCAAGUCGAACGGGAUGAUUUAGAAGCUUGCUUUUAGAGAAUCUAGUGGCAAACGGGUGAGUAACACGUAGACAGCCUGCCGACAGGAUGGGGACAACAUUCCGAAAGGAAUGCUAAUACCGAAUGAAGCGGAGGAGAGGCAUCUCUCCUCCGUGAAAGAUGGCCUCUGAACAUGCUAUCGCCUGUCGAUGGGUCUGCGUCUGAUUAGCUAGUUGGUGAGGUAACGGCUCACCAAGGCGACGAUCAGUAGCCGGUCUGAGAGGAUGAAACGGCCACAUUGGGACUGAGACACGGGCCCAGACUCCCUACGGGAGGGCAAGCAGUGGGGAAUCUUUCCCGCAAAGGGCGCAAAGCCUGACGGAGCAAACCGCCGCGUGAGUGAAGAA